UACGGAAGGCAGCAGUGGGGAAUAUUGCACAAUGGGCGCAAGCCUGAUGCAGCCAUGCCGCGUGUAUGAAGAAGGCCUUCGGGUUGUAAAGUACUUUCAGUCGUGAGGAAGGUGUUAAGGUUAAUAACCUUAGCAAUUGACGUUAGCGACAGAAGAAGCACCGGCUAACUCCGUGCCAGCAGCCGCGGUAAUACGGAGGGUGCGAGCGUUAAUCGGAAUUACUGGGCGUAAAGGGCACGCAGGCGGUUAAUUAAGUUGGAUGUGAAAUCCCCGGGCUUAACCUGGGAAUGGCAUUCAAGACUGGUUAGCUAGAGUCUUGUAGAGGGGGUAGAAUUCCAUGUGUAGCGGUGAAAUGCGUAGAGAUGUGGAGGAAUACCGGGUGGCGAAGGCGGCCCCUGGGACAAAGACUGACGCUCAUGUGCGAAAGCGUGGGGAGCGAAACAGGAUUAGAUACC
rnacentral:rRNA from 1 species